GGUGGUCCCCGGUUAGCAUUGAGACAGAUUCUUACAUCCUCCUCUGUCUUUAGUUGGAGAAGGAAAAAAAAAAGAGAGAGAGCCACAGGGAUACCUACUGGAGGUUCUUCAGCCUCUGAGGUACAGGAAAGACCCGGGGGCUGAGCUGGCUGUGUGGGGAAGGAGGUGGCACCAGGGUUCAGAGCCUCCAGUCUUUCAGGGCUUAGAGAUGCUGGGUAAAGUGCAGAGCCCAGUAGCUGUGUUUGGAACCCAACAUAUCUCAAGGACAGAGUAUGGGCUGGACUGUGAUCCAAGAUCAGGCACUACUGAGGCUGAAAGAGCAGCUGAAACAGACCGACCGUCUGCAACCCAGUGAUGAGCCCAGGUGAGCUCUGCGCUUCAGGGGCUCUUUGUUCCUUGAGAGUCAUGGAGGACUAUGCUCCAGUGACUGGGAAGGAAGAACAUGCCAGCCCCACGCGCUUCACCUAGCCCACAAGGACAGCGCGUACUCAGUGUUCACACAUGUCGCGGCAAGCAUGUGGUCUGUGGUCUGUGGUCAUUCCUGGCAGCCAAGGUUUGGGAAAAGCAGCCUCUGCCUGGGUCUGUCUCUGUUCUCUGCUCACAGCUCUCCACCCCUGCCAAGGAGACUGUGGUUGCUAGCAGCUGUGGACACUUUCCCACAAUGCAGUUCUUCGUGAUGUCUGCUAAGCUGGGGGGCGGGGGGUCGUCUAUGAAGCCCUGAUUCCUCACUCUGACUUUCCCACCCUUUCUUCCUUGACUUUUCUCAAGGAAGAGAAAGGAGAAUGGAUACAUCUGUCUGUCUAUCUAUCUAUCUAUCUAUCUAUCUAUCUAUCGACAACUGAAGGGUAAUUUUUUUUAAAAAAGCUAAUGACCCUGUGUAUUUAGUUUAUGUGGGGAUUCUGUUCUGUUUUAUUGUUUGAGCUGUCUUAACGUCACUGUCAAACUAUUUGUAUUAUUAUAAUUUUGUAAUAUAUCCUUAUUC
ensembl:processed_transcript